rnacentral:tRNA from 1 species
CAAAAUGUAGUUUAAUAAAAGCACCUCGCUUACACCGAGAAGAUACCUGUGAAACCCUAGUCAUUUUGA